UACAGAGGUCUCAAGCGUUGUUCGGAUUCAUUGGGCGUAAAGGGUGCGUAGGCGGCGUGGUAAGUCGGGUGUGAAAUCUCGGAGCUUAACUCCGAAACUGCAUUCGAUACUGCCGUGCUUGAGGACUGGAGAGGAGACUGGAAUUUACGGUGUAGCGGUGAAAUGCGUAGAUAUCGUAAGGAAGACCAGUGGCGAAGGCGGGUCUCUGGACAGUUCCUGACGCUUAGGCACGAAGGCCAGGGGAGCAAACGGG
rnacentral:rRNA from 1 species